UCCCUGAUAGUCUAGAGGUUAAGACUCUGUGUUCCCAAUGCAGGGAAUGUGAGUUCGACUCAUGGUCAGGGGA
rnacentral:tRNA from 1 species